UCGGAUCAGGUAGGAAUACCCGCUGAACUUAA
rnacentral:rRNA from 4 species